AUGUUGGAGGAAAUGUAUGCUCUAGACAAGAAUAAUACAUGGCAAUUGGUAGAAUGGCCGAAGGGCAAGGAACCAGUCGGAUGCAAAUGGGUUUAUACCAUUAAGUGUAACCCUGAAGGUAAAAUAGAAAGGUAUAAAGCUCGGUUGGUGGCCAAAGGCUACACACAGACUCGUGGUGUUGAUUAUGAGGAAACAUUUGCCCCUGUAGCAAAAAUGAAUACAGUAAGAACUUUGAUAUCUUGUGCAGCUAAUCUUGGAUGGAAUUUGUUUCAGAUGGAUGUAAAAAAUGCAUUCUUACAUGGAGACCUUCAGGAGGAAAUUUAUAUGCAUAUACCACCAGGUUUCAACACGGUACAAACUGAAGGAAAGGUCUUGAAACUCCGCCGUUCACUGAGAUGA
rnacentral:rRNA from 1 species